UUGGGGUAAGACCUGGUAAUAAAUGGAAUGCUCUGGUGUUUUAAUUGGAGGUAUGGGAGGAAGUUUUCCCACUUUACUGAGGAAGGAAAAUCAACCCUCCGAGACAAUGUCCCACCUGCCUUUAGGAUUGCACGAAAAAGGAGACUUUCAAGCUGCACAGUGAUGCCGUUGGACUCUGACGAGGACCAUGUUUUCAAUAAGAGGCCUUACAGCUUUCCUUCUAAGGAGAUGGGAAGUGGAGUUACCAUGGACAAAGAUGUCUUCAGCUUGAAAGAAGACACAUCUCUCAUUUAAUCACAGUAAUUUAUUGGUACAGGCUUAAGCAUUUUAGAAUUUAAUUUAGAAUUUAAAGAAUGGAGUUAAAUGUUUUGAAACAGCUCUUGUUCUUUUUGACAAA